rnacentral:rRNA from 1 species
UAGGGAAUAUUGGGCAAUGGGCGAAAGCCUGAUCCAGCCAUGCCGCGUGAGUGAUGAAGGCCCUAGGGUUGUAAAGCUCUUUCGCCAGGGACGAUAAUGACGGUACCUGGAUAAGAAGCCCGGCUAACUUCGUGCCAGCAGCCGCGGUAAUACGAAGGGGACUAGCGUUGUUCGGAAUCACUGGGCGUAAAGCGCACGUAGGCGGAUUUGUAAGUCAGGGGUGAAAUCCCGGGGCUCAACCUCGGAACUGCCUUUGAUACUGCGGAUCUCGAGUCCGAUAGAGGUGAGUGGAAUUCCUAGUGUAGAGGUGAAAUUCGUAGAUAUUAGGAAGAACACCGGUGGCGAAGGCGGCUCACUGGAUCGGUACUGACGCUGAGGUGCGAAAGCGUGGGGAGCAAACAGGAUUAGAUACCCAUGUAGUCCCUGAGCGGGCUGGCAAGGCGCAU